CUUUAUCACAGCAACAGAAAGCAAACUGGGAUGGCUGACUGGGUUUCAGGAAGAAGCCACAGGUCAAUGUUGGCAGACGUGUUGGAGCAGUAGGGCCAAGGAGACAGCAUCCUGUCUGAUCCUCCCGUGGAUUGAAUCCAAGGAUGUAAAAGCUGCGGAGAUGGAGGCUCCCUCUUCCUUUGGAGGGCUCUUUUCCCCUCUUGUCUAUUAUGCCCUGAGGAAGAGGCUCACAGCUUGUCAAUUUCUCUGCCUUGGGACAGUUCGUGUGCAUUGCUGUGGGUUUCCGAAGAUCACUUAAUUGGAACACUAUGGAUUCUGGUUAUUGUACACGUGUUGUCAUGCAGCCACCAGUGACAAGUGAGACACACAGCAUGCCACCACCUCACACAAGGUCCCUGACUAUUUCUGCAAUCCUGCUCUUAUCCUUGGGCCCGACAGUCAGGGACCUGUUCUCCAUCACACGGUUCUGUCUUUUAUAAAAUUUCAUAUAAACGACACCAAGCAACAUGUCAUCU
rnacentral:lncRNA from 1 species